GUGCUUGCUUUCACAGCACAUACACUAACAUUGGACAAUACAGAGAUUAGUAUGGCCCCUGCACAAGGAUGACACAAGGACAUCAGGGUCCCUGCACCUGAAU
ensembl:snRNA U6 U6 spliceosomal RNA